CGGGUCUAGCUUUAGCCUGAAACUUGGUGAAAUACCAACAACUUCACAAUCAUAUGUGUCACCAACCAAGUUUACCAGCUAGCAAUUCUCUAUGGUGAGCUGAAAAAAAAACACUCCACAGAACUCGUAUAUUCUGGUCUUCUUUACCUUCCUAUUUCAACCAAGUACUAGAUGAGCCGAUUGAAGCCUUGCUCAUUGAUCAAAAUCGCAGCUUUUGGCCCAGCUGGGUCUGUACAAGAGCAAGGAGGAGGCCGCCAGGCAAGAAGAGGUGCUGGGGAAGCUUGACAAGAUUGUGAAAGAGUGGGUUAAGGAGUUGGCUAUUCAGAGAGGCCAACUCAACGCAAAUGUCGUGCUUUUCACCUUCGGGUCAUACCAUCUAGGGGACAACAAGUUCAUCUGCGGCAGCUAUCACUGUGAGCAGUCCGUCUGCACGGCAGCUAUCACUAUGAGCAGUCCGUCUGCAACGCGCUCCGCAGCGUCUUCGCCGGUCACAACGAGAUCCUCAACGUAUGCAAGUAAGUCGUCGGCCAUCUGUUUCCUGAUGAAUUUUCUUUCUAGCUCAAUGUGAUCGGAUCUGACUAGUACGUUCAGAUUUGCUCUUGUUUUCUUUUCAAAUAGUACUAGUAGUCUAUAUUCCAGCUGUGCGACUACCUGUAGCCACUUGAACCGAUGACAAUUCUUCAAGCCUACCUAUAGCCACUUGAACAUAUGUCUAUCUCAGAUCUGCUCAUCUAAAAAAUCCAAGUGGAGUAGUAUACUGGUAGUAUAGUAUAAUAAUAUUAUCAAAAGGUAAACGCCCUGAUUACCUAGCUCUGUGAGAUAAAUACUCGUCGAAAGUGGGCUCCUAUCAAAAUUCAUUUCCAUUAUAAUCUUACUCAUACAAUAUUCACACCAUGUAAUUCUGGAAAUAUAUGCUCAUAUCUAGUUCUGCAUAAAAAAUGACAGUAUUGACAUGUUAUAAAUAGUUUGUUUG